GGCCACCUCCGGGGGGCUUACAUAUCGCAGAGGCACACCUCUGCAUUGCUAAACGGAAGACAGAAA
rnacentral:ncRNA from 1 species